CAUAUGCUAAUAAACGCGACACGGUAUGUGAAAUGGGACAACGCGUUGAGAAACUUAACGCCCUAAUUCAAAAUCACCCCCGAGAACAAACACGGAAACAACGGCUCUAUUUCUUCUCGAGCACUGUUCGUUUCCUUGUCGCCACCUGGACAUUUUGGGAUCGUAAAGUUGAGAGGAAGAUUUCGACAGGUGCCACUACUACAGGUGAUAACAGUACAACAGAGGGAGAGGCGAUAGUUACAAGUUCACGGGUGUCCUGAGGGCAUCCGGUGAAUCAAUCGAUCAACAAUCCACUAAACAAAAUGGCUGCAACGUUUGGUGGUCGGACAGUCGGACUGUUGCUGUUAUUUGUAGCCAACGCGCCGGUCAACAUAACUGCAGCGACGUGCAGCACACCUGCAGCGCCGGACAACACAACUGCAACGCCGGGCAACACAACUGCAGCGCCGGGCAACAUAACUA